GACGAACGCUGGCGGCGUGCUUAACACAUGCCAGUCGAACGGAAAGGCCCUGCUUUUGUGGGGUGCUCGAGUGGCGAACGGGUGAGUAACACGUGAGUAACCUGCCCUUGACUUUGGGAUAACUUCAGGAAACUGGGGCUAAUACCGGAUAGGAGCUCCUGCUGCAUGGUGGGGGUUGGAAAGUUUCGGCGGUUGGGGAUGGACUCGCGGCUUAUCAGCUUGUUGGUGGGGUAGUGGCUUACCAAGGCUUUGACGGGUAGCCGGCCUGAGAGGGUGACCGGCCACAUUGGGACUGAGAUACGGCCCAGACUCCUACGGGAGGCAGCAGUAGGGAAUAUUGCACAAUGGGCGGAAGCCUGAUGCAGCAACGCCGCGUGCGGGAUGACGGCCUUCGGGUUGUAAACCGCUUUCGCCUGUGACGAAGCGUGAGUGACGGUAAUGGGUAAAGAAGCACCGGCUAACUACGUG
rnacentral:rRNA from 1 species